CGUGUAGGCGGCUGGGUAAGUCAGAUGUGAAAGUCCCGGGCUUAACUCGGGAAGUGCAUUUGAUACUGCUCAGCUAGAGUAAGGGAGAGGAAAGUGGAAUUCCUGGUGUAGGGGUGAAAUUCGUAGAUAUCAGGAGGAACACCGGAGGCGAAGGCGGCUUUCUGGCCCUAUACUGACGCUGAGACGCGAAAGCGUGGGGAGCAAACAGGAUUAGAUACCCUGGUAGUCC
rnacentral:rRNA from 1 species